UACGGAGGGUGCAAGCGUUGUCCGGAAUCACUGGGCGUAAAGGGCGCGUAGGCGGCUCAUGAAGGCUGUGGUGAAAGUCCGGGGCUCAACCUCGGAUCGGCCGUGGCGACUCGUGGGCUGGAGCACUGUAGAGGCGGGUGGAAUUCCGGGUGUAGCGGUGGAAUGCGUAGAGAUGCGGAAGAACACCAGUGGCGAAGGCGACUUUCUGGCCUGUUCUUGACGCUGAGGCGCGAAAGCUAGGGGAGCAAACAGG
rnacentral:rRNA from 1 species